rnacentral:rRNA from 1 species
AUUGAACGCUGGCGGCAGGCCUAACACAUGCAAGUCGAGCGGAGCGGCGGACGGGUGAGUAACGCCUAGGAAUCUGCCUGGGAGUGGGGGAUAACGCCCGGAAACGGGCGCUAAUACCGCAUUCGAUCCGAUGAGCCGGGGUCGGAUUAGCUAGUUGGUGGGGUAAAGGCCUACCAAGGCGACGAUCCGUAACUGGUCUGAGAGGAUGAGCAGUCACACUGGGACUGUGAGCCGGUCCAGACUCCUACGGGAGGCAGCAGUGGGGAAUAUGGGACAAUGGGCGAAAGACUGAUCCAGCCAGGCUGCGUGUGUGCAGAAGGUCUUCGGAUUGGAAAGCUCUUUAAGGUGGGAGGCGUUACCAACAGAAUAAACACCUGCUAACUUCGCGGCAGCAGCCGUAAUAC